CACCUGUGCCUUCCUUGGCAGCCGAGAGCAGCGACAGCUACCACGUCAUCCUGAAGUAGGACAGGUGAGGGCACCUGGGACACCUCGACACCUGGGACACCUGAACACCUGGAACACCUGAACACCUGGACACCUGGAACACUUGGAUACCUGGGACACCUGAACACCUGGACAACUGGAACACCAGGACACCUGAAGCACCUGAACACCUGGACAGCUGGAACACCUGGACGCCUGAACACUUGGAGCACCUGGACACCUGGACACCUGGAACACCUGGACAGCUGGAACACCUGGACACCUGAACACCUGGACACCGCCCACUCCCAGCACAAGGACACGAGCAGAGAGCUGGGAACACCUGGGAGCCCCCAGGUGUGCUUACCUGUCUGUACCUGUUCCAGGUGACCCCCAGCUGUGGUUACCUGGCUGUGCCUGUCCCAGGUGUGGUUACCUGGCUGUCCCUCUCUCAGGUGACCCCCAGGUGUGGUUACCUGUGCUUACCUGGCUGUGCCUGUCCCAGGUGACCCCCAGGUGUGGUUACCUGUGCUUACCUGGCUGUGCCUGUCCCAGGUGACCCCCAGGUGUGGUUACCUGUGCUUACCUGGCUGCCCCCCCCUCAGCAGCUGUGAGGCCCCAGGUGUUCCCCCCCGGGCCAGGUGUGUCUCCAGGUGUGUGCAGGUGGGAUCCGAUCCCGCCGGGAAUUUACCGAUGGAAAAUUUGGGAAUAAAGGAAUAACUGGGGGGGGGGGGGGGCGGGGGGGGGUGUCGCUGUUUUAGGGAGAAAAACAACGAUUUGGCUCUUUCUGCUGAACACGGGGAGGGGUCAAAGCGCCCCUGGGCAGGUGCCCAGGUGAGGGUGUGCCCAGGUGAGGCUGUGCCCAGGUGAGGCUGUGCCCAGGUGAACAGGCCGGGAUGCUCCAGGUAAGCCGUGCCUGGGGAUUUGGGGGGAAAUGGGGGGAAAAGGCAAUAAAAGCUGAUUUAUUUCA